CUUCAAACAAUGCGGCACUGACCACCACAGAUUGAUAAAAAAGGAAAAGCAUAUUGUUACAGACAUCAAAGGAUUUCAGUCUUCUGAGGAAGAACAGUCUGCUUUGUCCCCUUUUAUACGCUGCAUUUAGCUGCACUGACCAGUCCAGUCUAUUGUCAAUGUGGACUCUGAGGUACUUGUAUGUGGACCACCUCAAUGCCCACAUUGUCUAUACUGACUGGUAGGUGCUGUG